AAGCAAUUAUACAGCGAAACUGCGAAUGGCUCAUUAAAUCAGUUAUCGUUUAUUUGAUAGUACCCUACUACAUGGAUAACCGUGGUAAUUCUAGAGCUAAUACAUGCUAAAAAUCCCGACUUCGGAAGGGAUGUAUUUAUUAGAUUAAAAACCAAUGCCCUUUCGGGGCUUCCUGGUGAUUCAUAAUAACUUCUCGAAUCGCACGGCCUUGCGCCGGCGAUGGUUCAUUCAAAUUUCUGCCCUAUCAACUUUCGACGGCUGGGUCUUGGCCAGCCGUGGUGACAACGGGUAACGGAGGGUUAGGGCUCGACCCCGGAGAAGGAGCCUGAGAAACGGCUACUACAUCCAAGGAAGGCAGCAGGCGCGCAAAUUACCCAAUCCCGACACGGGGAGGUAGUGACAAUAAAUACUGAUACAGGGCUCUUUUGGGUCUUGUAAUUGGAAUGAGUACAAUUUAAAUCCCUUAACGAGGAACAAUUGGAGGGCAAGUCUGGUGCCAGCAGCCGCGGUAAUUCCAGCUCCAAUAGCGUAUAUUAAAGUUGUUGAGGUUAAAAAGCUCGUAGUUGAACCUUGGGCCUAGCCGACCGGUCCGCCUCACCGCGUGCACUGGUUCGGUUGGGUCUUUCCUUCUGGAGAACCUCAUGCCCUUUACUGGGUGUGUUGGGGAACCAGGACUUUUACUCUGAACAAAUUAGAUCGCUUAAAGAAGGCCUAUGCUCGAAUACAUUAGCAUGGAAUAAUAGAAUAGGACGUGUGGUUCUAUUUUGUUGGUUUCUAGGACCGCCGUAAUGAUUAAUAGGGACAGUCGGGGGCAUCAGUAUUCAAUUGUCAGAGGUGAAAUUCUUGGAUUUAUUGAAGACUAACUACUGCGAAAGCAUUUGCCAAGGAUGUUUUCAUUAAUCAGGAACGAAAGUUAGGGGAUCGAAGACGAUCAGAUACCGUCGUAGUCUUAACCAUAAACUAUGCCGAUUAGGGAUCGGGCGGUGUUAUUUUUUGACCCGCUCGGCACCUUACGAUAAAUCAAAAUGUU
rnacentral:rRNA from 1 species